rnacentral:rRNA from 1 species
AUUGAACGCUGGCGGCAGGCCUAACACAUGCAAGUCGAGCGGAUGAAGGGAGCUUGCUCCUGGAUUCAGCGGCGGACGGGUGAGUAAUGCCUAGGAAUCUGCCUGGUAGUGGGGGAUAACGUCCGGGAACGGGCGCUAAUACCGCAUACGUCCUGAGGGAGAAAGUGGGGGAUCUUCGGACCUCACGCUAUCAGAUGAGCCUAGGUCGGAUUAGCUAGUUGGUGGGGUAAAGGCCUACCAAGGCGACGAUCCGUAACUGGUCUGAGAGGAUGAUCAGUCACACUGGAACUGAGACACGGUCCAGACUCCUACGGGAGGCAGCAGUGGGGAAUAUUGGACAAUGGGCGAAAGCCUGAUCCAGCCAUGCCGCGUGUGUGAAGAAGGUCUUCGGAUUGUAAAGCACUUUAAGUUGGGAGGAAGGGCAGUAAGUUAAUACCUUGCUGUUUUGACGCUACCAACAGAAUAAGCACCGGCUAACUUCGUG